GCCCGCGUGGUGGAAUGGUAGACACAGGGGACUUAAAAUCCCUAGCCGCAAGGCGUGCCGGUUCGAGUCCGGCCGCGGGUACCA
rnacentral:tRNA from 1 species